rnacentral:rRNA from 1 species
UACGAGGGGUGCAAGCGUUGCUCGGAAUUAUUGGGCGUAAAGGGUAGGUAGGUGGUCUCAUUUGUCAGGGGUGAAAGCCUUGGGCUUAACCCAAGAAGUGCCCCUGAAACGGUGAGACUAGAGUCUUGGAGAGGGUCGUGGAAUUCCCGGUGUAGCGGUGGAAUGCGCAGAUAUCAGGAGGAACACCUAUAGCGAAGGCAGCUCGCUGGUACGACACUGACGCUAAGGCGCGAAAGCGUGGGGAGCGAACAGG